GUGCGAGACCGAUAGCGAACAAGUACCGUGAGGGAAAGAUGAAAAGAACUUUGAAAAGAGAGUUAAAGAGUACCUGAAACUGCUGAAAGGGAAGCGAAUCGUAUCCAGUGUCUAUAAUCUGCGGCAUAUUUCAUUGGCGGCAGUGUGCGUGCUUUUGCGUCGGAAGCGGCUUUUGUUGCUCUGUGCUUUUGCUGUGCGUGCUGUUGCUGGUGCCCUGUGUUGCGGUGGGACGUCAGAGUCAGUUCGUAUGCUGCGGGAAAUGGCCGCCGAGGAGGUAGGUCAGGACUUCGGUCUUGGCUGUUAUAUCUUGGUGGUUUGUUGUCGUGGUUGAGACUGAGGUGCCUACAAUGUGCUUUUGAGUGUACCGGGUUCUCAUUUGGUGGACUGUUUGGAUAGCUUGCUAUGCUUGUGGUUUUUUCAUCGAGUGAUUGAGUCUGGUGGUAACUUGUUGCUGUUCGGGACUUUGAA
rnacentral:rRNA from 2 species